GGAUUAGAUACCCUGGUAGUCCACGCCGUAAACGAUGUAUACUCGAUGUUCGCGAUAUAGUGUGAGCGUCCAAGAGAAAUUAUUAAGUAUACCACCUGGGGAGUACGGUCGCAAGACUGAAACUCAAAGGAAUUGACGGGGGCCCGCACAAGCGGUGGAGCAUGUGGUUUAAUUCGAUGAUACGCGAGGAACCUUACCUGGGCUUAAAUGUGAGAUGACUGACUUGGAAACAGGUCUUUCUUCGGACAUCUUACAAGGUGCUGCAUGGUUGUCGUCAGCUCGUGCUG
rnacentral:rRNA from 1 species